rnacentral:rRNA from 1 species
AGAGUUUGAUCCUGGCUCAGGAUGAACGCUAGCGGAAGGCCUAACACAUGCAAGUCGAGCGGUAUUUGGUAGCUUGCUACUAGAGAGAGCGGCGUACGGGUGCGUAACAUGUGUGCAACCUACCCUUAUCAAGGGGAUAGCCAUUCGAAAGGAUGAUUAAUACCCUAUAAUAUAUCAGGUGGCAUCAUUUGAUAUUGAAAGCUGCGGCGGAUAAGGAUGAGCACGCACAAGAUUAGCUAGUUGGUAAGGUAACGGCUUACCAAGGCGACGAUCUUUAGGGGGCCUGAGAGGGUGAUCCCCCACACUGGGACUGAGACACGGCCCAGACUCCUACGGGAGGCAGCAGAAGGG